AGAGUUUGAUCCUGGCUCAGAUUGAACGCUGGCGGCAUGCCCUACACAUGCAAGUCGAACGGCAGCACGAGAGCUUGCUCUUGGUGGCGAGUGGCGAACGGGUGAGUAAUAUAUCGGAACGUACCCUAGAGUGGGGGAUAACGUAGCGAAAGUUACGCUAAUACCGCAUACGAUCUACGGAUGAAAGUGGGGGAUCGCAAGACCUCAUGCUCAUGGAGCGGCCGAUAUCUGAUUAGCUAGUUGGUGGGGUAAAAGCUCACCAAGGCGACGAUCAGUAGCUGGUCUGAGAGGACGACCAGCCACACUGGAACUGAGACACGGUCCAGACUCCUACGGGAGGCAGCAGUGGGGAAUUUUGGACAAUGGGCGCAAGCCUGAUCCAGCAAUGCCGCGUGAGUGAAGAAGGCCUUCGGGUUGUAAAGCUCUUUUGUCAGGGAAGAAACGGUGGACUCUAAUACAGAUCACUAAUGACGGUACCUGAAGAAUAAGCACCGGCUAACUACGUGCCAGCAGCCGCGGUAAUACGUAGGGUGCAAGCGUCAAUCGGAAUUACUGGGCGUAAAGCGUGCGCAGGCGGUUGUGCAAGACAGAUGUGAAAUCCCCGGGCUCAACCUGGGAAUUGCAUUUGUGACUGCACGGCUAGAGUGUGUCAGAGGGGGGUAGAAUUCCACGUGUAGCAGUGAAAUGCGUAGAGAUGUGGAGGAAUACCGAUGGCGAAGGCAGCCCCCUGGGAUAACACUGACGCUCAUGCACGAAAGCGUGGGGAGCAAACAGGAUUAGAUACCCUGGUAGUCCACGCCCUAAACGAUGUCUACUAGUUGUCGGGUCUUAAUUGACUUGGUAACGCAGCUAACGCGUGAAGUAGACCGCCUGGGGAGUACGGUCGCAAGAUUAAAACUCAAAGGAAUUGACGGGGACCCGCACAAGCGGUGGACGAUGUGGAUUAAUUCGAUGCAACGCGAAAAACCUUACCUACCCUUGACAUGUCUGGAAUCCUUGAGAGAUCAGGGAGUGCUCGAAAGAGAAUCAGAACACAGGUGCUGCAUGGCUGUCGUCAGCUCGUGUCGUGAGAUGUUGGGUUAAGUCCCGCAACGAGCGCAACCCUUGUCAUUAGUUGCUACGAAAGGGCACUCUAAUGAGACUGCCGGUGACAAACCGGAGGAAGGUGGGGAUGACGUCAAGUCCUCAUGGCCCUUAUGGGUAGGGCUUCACACGUCAUACAAUGGUACAUACAGAGGGCCGCCAACCCGCGAGGGGGAGCUAAUCCCAGAAAGUGUAUCGUAGUCCGGAUUGUAGUCUGCAACUCGACUACAUGAAGUUGGAAUCGCUAGUAAUCGCGGAUCAGCAUGUCGCGGUGAAUACGUUCCCGGGUCUUGUACACACCGCCCGUCACACCAUGGGAGCGGGUUUCACCAGAAGUGGGUAGCCUAACCGCAAGGAGGGCGCUCACCACGGUGGGAUUCGUGACUGGGGUGAAGUCGUAACAAGGUAGCCGUAUCGGAAGGUGCGGCUG
rnacentral:rRNA from 1 species